AUUGAACGCUGGCGGAAUGCUUUACACAUGCAAGUCGAACGGUAGAGGGGGCAACCCCUCGAGAGUGGCGAACGGGUGAGUAAUAUAUCGGAACGUGCCCAGUCGUGGGGGAUAACGUAGCGAAAGUUACGCUAAUACCGCAUACGAUCUAAGGAUGAAAGCGGGGGAUCGCAAGACCUCGCGCGAUUGGAGCGGCCGAUAUCAGAUUAGGUAGUUGGUGGGGUAAAGGCUCACCAAGCCAACGAUCUGUAGCUGGUCUGAGAGGACGACCAGCCCAACGGGAACUGAGAUACGGUCCAGACUCCUACGGGAGGCAGCAGUGGGGAAUUUUGGACAAUGGACGCAAGUCUGAUCCAGCCAUUCCGCGUGCAGGAUGAAGGCCCUCGGGUUGUAAACUGCUUUUGUACGGAACGAAAAGGUCUCUCUUAAUACGGGGGGCUCAUGACGGUACCGUAAGAAUAAGCACCGGCUAACUACGUGCCAGCCGCCGCCGUAA
rnacentral:rRNA from 1 species